rnacentral:rRNA from 1 species
UCCGGGGGGGGCAAGCGUUGUUCGGAAUUACUGGGCGUAAAGGGCUCGUAGGUGGCCAACUAAGUCAGACGUGAAAUCCCCAGGCUCAACUUGGGAACUGCGUCUGAUACUGGAUGGCUUGAAUUCGGGAGAGGGAUGCAGAAUUCCAGGUGUAGCGGUGAAAUGCGUAGAUAUCUGGAGGAAUACCGGUGGCGAAGGCGGCAUCCUGGACCGAGAUUGACACUGAUGAGCGAGAGCCAGGGGAGCAAACGGG